rnacentral:rRNA from 1 species
AUUGAACGCUGGCGGCAUGCCUUACACAUGCAAGUCGAACGGCAGCACGGAGCUUGCUCUGGUGGCGAGUGGCGAACGGGUGAGUAAUAUAUCGGAACGUACCCAAGAGUGGGGGAUAACGUAGCGAAAGUUACGCUAAUACCGCAUACGAUCUAAGGAUGAAAGCAGGGGACCGCAAGGCCUUGUGCUCCUGGAGCGGCCGAUAUCUGAUUAGCUAGUUGGUGAGGUAAAGGCUCACCAAGGCAUCGAUCAGUAGCUGGUCUGAGAGGACGACCAGCCACACUGGAACUGAGACACGGUCCAGACUCCUACGGGAGGCAGCAGUGGGGAAUUUUGGACAAUGGGGGCAACCCUGAUCCAGCAAUGCCGCGUGAGUGAAGAAGGCCUUCGGGUUGUAAAGCCCUUUUGUCAGGGAAGAAACGGUGAAGGCUAAUAUCCUUUGCUAAUGACGGUACCUGAAGAAUAAGCACCGGCUAACUACGUGCCAGCCGCCGCGGUAA